rnacentral:piRNA from 1 species
UGGGCAUGUAACUCAGUAGUAGA